rnacentral:rRNA from 1 species
AUACGUAGGGGGCGAGCGUUGUCCGGAAUUACUGGGCGUAAAGGGCGUGUAGGCGGCCGAGCAAGUCAAGUGUGAAAAGCCUCGGCUUAACCGAGGCAUUGCACAUGAAACUGCUUGGCUUGAGUGCAGGAGAGGGAAGUGGAAUUCCUAGUGUAGCGGUGAAAUGCGUAGAUAUUAGGAGGAACACCAGUGGCGAAGGCGACUUCCUGGACUGUAACUGACGCUGAGGCGCGAAAGCGUGGGUAGCAAACAGGAGUAGAUACCCUGGUAGUCCACGCCGUAAACGAUGGGUACUGGGUGGGGGUAGUUCACACUAUCCGUGCCGCAGCAAACGCAAUAAGUACCCCGCCUGGGGAGUACGGCCGCAAGGUUGAA